rnacentral:snRNA from 1 species
GGAGGGCAAUCUGACUGCAAGUUCUGUCCCCACGUUGAUCACUAGGGUUGACUGGGCUGAUGUGGCUGGCUAGACAGUGUCUCCCUCGUCCCUCACUGCUCCACGUGGCGAGGACACCUGCCUCGACAGAGGAGGAGUGCUUCUCUGUCGAGUGUUUACAGGUGGCUGUAAACAGGACCUUCCUAGGACCUCCAGACAAGCCCUCGUGGACCACUUGUAGGAAAAGGUAGGGUAGUCAAGCUUCCAUGACUCCAGACACACAGUCAGAUGAGGCUCAUGUCUUUCUUA